rnacentral:tRNA from 1 species
GCGCCUGUAGCUCAGCUGGAUAGAGCACCAGUCUUCGGAACUGGGUGUCGGGGGUUCGAUUCCUCCCAGGCGCG